GGCCCGCUGGCGCAACGGUAGCGCGUCAGAUUCCAGUUAAACUGGGACUUCCUGAAGGUUACCUGUUCGAAUCAGGUGUGGGUCA